UACAAUCCGAAGCCGACCGCAGUGUUCAGCGAAACGAUGGUGUGGAUCCCAGCAAGAAUCUUCCAUCGUCAGCAGAUGGCCCACUGCAAGGUUCUCUUACCCAACUGCUCCAGGGUAAUAUCGAAGCUUCUACGACCAAGUCCCAGCAAGAAAGCUUGCUUAACGCAUUUUAUGGACCUUAUGACAAAAGCGAAAAUGAUUGCACAAGUA